CGUCCAACCAGUCAGACUGCAUACUUUAACAGUGAAGGGAUGAAGGUGUGGCAGCGCUCUGAACACUCUGAUAACAGACAGUAAGCAGCGUCGCUUCACUUCACUUAAGGGACGUUUUACUGGGAGACGAGUCCAAACCUGCUGUGGACAGAAAAGAGUGGACUGGUGGCUGAGAGCUCAGUUCAGACUGGUUUGUGCUUUGAGCUGUUUGGUUCCUGCAGAGCUGAAGAAGGACGACGGUGGAGCUCAGGAGAGGAGCAGAAAGCUGUUGGACUGCAACAAGUUGAGUGGCUGCAGGUUUUCACCAACAUGGAAAGGAUCCAUCAGAACCCAGGACCAGAACCAGGACCAGGAACAGGACCAGGACCAGGACCAGAACUCAGCAUUCACUCCAUGAAGAAUGCUCACUCAAAGGGUGCCGCCAUGUU